rfam:Triticum aestivum genome assembly, contig: Triticum_aestivum_CS42_TGACv1_scaffold_290166_4AL
GAUGUACUCCCUCCGUUCGGAAUUACUUGUCUCAGAAAUGGAUGUAUCUAGAAUAUCUAGAUACAUCCAUUUCUGAGACAAGUAAUUCCGAACGGAGGGAGUACGUG